rnacentral:rRNA from 1 species
GGCCAGACUCCUACGGGAGGCAGCAGUGAGGAAUAUUGGUCAAUGGGCGCAAGCCUGAACCAGCCAAGUCGCGUGAGGGAUGACGGUCCUAUGGGUUGUAAACCUCUUUUGUCAGGGAGCAAUUGGCGCUACGUGUAGCGUUAUCGAGAGUACCUGAAGAAAAAGCAUCGGCUAACUCCGUGCCAGCAGCCGCGGUAAUACGGAGGAUGCGAGCGUUAUCCGGAUUUAUUGGGUUUAAAGGGUGCGUAGGCGGAAUGCCAAGUCAGCGGUAAAAUCGCGGGGCUCAACCUCGCUCCGCCGUUGAAACUGGCGUUCUUGAGUGGGCGAGAAGUAUGCGGAAUGCGUGGUGUAGCGGUGAAAUGCAUAGAUAUCACGCAGAACUCCGAUUGCGAAGGCAGCAUACCGGCGCCCAACUGACGCUGAAGCACGAAAGCGUGGGUAUCGAACAGGAUUAGAUACCCUCGUAG